rnacentral:rRNA from 1 species
UACCAGACUCCUACGGGAGGCAGCAGUGGGGAAUAUUGCACAAUGGGGGGAACCCUGAUGCAGCAACGCCGCGUGAGUGAAGAAGCGUUUCGGCGCGUAAAGCUCUGUCAGCGGGGAAGAAAGAAGACGGUACCCGACCAAGAAGCCCCGGCUAACUACGUGCCAGCAGCCGCGGUAAUACGUAGGGGGCGAGCGUUAUCCGGAAUUACUGGGUGUAAAGGGAGCGUAGACGGCGAAGUAAGCCUGAAGUGGAAGCCCGCGGCCCAACCGCGGAACUGCUUUGGGAACUGUUUUGCUGGAGUAUGGGAGGGGUAAGCGGAAUUCCUGGUGUAGCGGUGAAAUGCGUAGAUAUCAGGAGGAACACCGGUGGCGAAGGCGGCUUACUGGACCACGACUGACGUUGAGGCUCGAAAGCGUGGGGAGCAAACAGGAUUAGAUACCCUAGUA